CAACAUGAUCAGCCCGAGGGGGGUUGUCACGGGGGACUGGAUCAACUGCAGGGAAGAAGAAGUUCUGAGCAGACUGCCCAGCCGAUGGAAGGACGAGGAGGACCACGAAACAUUAAACCCUUUCCAAAAAUGGUAAAAGCAAGCUGCCACGAAAAUUCUGUGCAGUUCUAUGCUACAAUCUAUACAAGAGUACGUACACAAUUGAAGGAACACUUGACCAUCUUCUUUGAUCACAAUGAACUUUAAAAAUCACUCAUUCUCUGAUACAAAUAAGUUGUUUAUUUAUUCAGUCCACAAAAAUCAGAGAAGAGGAGGGCACCAGGAACUGCAGCCGGACAGGAUAGAACCCACCUUCUCCGCUUCAAGCAAUACAGGGCACCUGCCUUUCCCUUGCAAACAGCUCUCCCCUCUGAAGACUAAGGCAAAGCCCAUCCCAAAGAGCAGGAAAUUCAGGGAACUGAGGAUAAAUUCAACUGUCGUUGGGAGCAGCGUGAUGUAAGACAAGUGGCAAUAAAGGGCAUGCUGAAAAUGCUCUUAUUAAAUCAAUUAUCUCGGACACUGAAACUUCAGAUACAGCCUCCACAAGUUUUCUCUUCUUUUUGUCCAAGUUUGGGCUACUUCUAACAACGUAAAAGAAAACGCAGCAGGAGGAACAGGAAAUCCCUGAAGCAACUUUUCUUUACUGACCCUUCAUAAGCAUCUCUUCCCAUCCGGAGACCUGUGGGUUAUCAAUCUGUACUUUAAAGAUUCCCAUUACUUCCCCCUCUUUCACCCGUCUUUCUCCUCUAACUCUUUCUGUGUCUAUUUUCCCCCACAGCCCUCAUUCUUACUCUCUUGGCUGGGAAUGCUUCGUAUUACCGACUCUUCCAAUUUGGCAGUAAAUUUUUCCUGUAGGUGUGAGAUGCUCUGUGCUCCCAUUGGAAAAAAAAAUCCUACGCUAUGGAAAAUGUAUCCAAAGCCCUCCCUUCUCUCAUCAUUUGGAAAAAGGGGAGACAGGCAAAAAGCCAACUGAAAACGAAAGUUAUUCUUUCCUGAAAGAACAGCCUGAUCAGGGGUGCCCGGGUGGCUCAGUCGGUUAAGCGUCUGACUUCGGCUCAGGUCAUGAUCUCGCGGUCCGUGGGUUCGAGCCCCAUGUCGGGCUCUGUGCUGACAGCUCAGAGCCUGGAGCCUGUUUCGGAUUCUGUGUCUCCCUCUUUCUCUGACCCUCCCCUGUUCAUGCUCUCUCUCUCUGUCUCAAAAAUAAACAUUAAAAAAAAAAAAAA